CUGUGACCUCUCAGGCGAGAAGGCGCUCUGUAUUCUACCGGCAAGUCUCUCUCUGUGCUGCUGACACAGCCCAACAGGUUUCACAUGAGGAGAGGGAAAUGAGAUAAUCUGUCCUUGUGCUGGAAUGAAUGAUAAAUGCUAGUUCCUGCCUCCUGAAAGCAAGCAUUUAGCAGGCAGACAGCCAUUUCAGAGAGCUGCACACUUUGUAACAGCAGCAGCAAAACAGGAAAACAAUACAAAGAAUGAGGCAGCAAUACCUGAGUGCAAACAGAGACACCCAGCAAACACCGGGAAGUGACUGACUGAAAUGUUCACAGGUGCCCAAGGACUCUGUCAGAAAUAUUGAACAUGGUGACACAUGAAGGCACAAAAAGAUGAAGCCAGUGACUAACUUCUCUAUUUUCUCUUGGGACCUGAGGAGAGCAAACACCACUAG